CAAGCGUCCAGCUGUAGGUCUAUGCAAAAAGGAGGAAACAAAAGUUUGGUUUUUAUGAGAUUCAUUCUUGUUCAAAUAUCAUAUAUCAGAAGAAUCAUCACACCCCAUUUCAUCAACUGCUUCAAUCAUGGCGGAAGUAGGACAACCACUGCCAAAAUUUGGUGAAUGGGAUGUGAAUGACCCUGCAUCGGCCGAUGGGUUUACGGUAAUUUUUAACAAGGCUAGGAACGAGAAAAAGACAGGCGGCGGCACAGCGGAUUCACCGCCCAAAACCGACUCCACACAGGGUGCAGCAGCUAGUAUUGGAAAGCCUCAAUCUAAGAAAUGGUUCUGUUUCAAGGCAUGAACAUACAUUUUAUACAUACAUGUGUGUGUAUAACAGAAUAUCAAAACCAUAUAUAGAUAUUUGUAUAUGUAAGUAUAUUCCAGAAAGCUGGAUCUUUAGUGAUGCCGUGCAGGGUCUUGCUUAAGUUUCAGCGUUUUAUAAUGAUAUCCUGAACCCAACAAAGAGGUAUCCAUAUCGCGUCUUUUUUUCUUUUUUUUGUGAAGAAUGUGGUUUUGUAAACUGGUUUAUCAUUUGAUUCAAUGCAAAAUACUUUAUGUUUGGAUUUUGUUUA